UUUUUUUAUGUAAUGGGUUUUUUUUUUUUUGCAAAUCAUAGAGUGAUUUAGGAAAAGGUUCUUUCCUUAGUGCCCCCAUGGUAGUUUUCUCAAAAGCACUUCUAUUUUUAAUAAGCAAAUCGGUUCAUAAAUCAAUAUACCCAUUACAUAACUGGUUUUUAUGAUUUAGAACUUUAGAAAUAGUUUAUAAACAUUUGGACUCUGUCAAAAAUGCGUAUCCUCAAACUCCUGGCCCAUAUGUACAGCCUUGGGGACAUUCUCUUCCCCUUCAACAAUUCCUAUGGUAAUUUCUGAAGUAAUAGAAGGCAACAACAAUAUACCAUGCCAACCAUUCAUAUGAACUUCAUUGAAUUAACUUUCAGUUCAGUUGAGAUUAAAUCCUAUCCAAUCCAAAUUUAUGCCCCUAUCCAUGUUUUGGAGUACAGUUAGUCCUUGAUUUAGAACAGUUCAUUAGUGCCUUCGAAGUUAUAACAGCACUGAAAAAACUGACUUUCGCACUUAUGACCAUUGCAGCAGCCCCAUGGUCAUGUGAUCAAAAUUCAGACGCUUGGCAACUGACUCAUAUUUAUGACGGUUGCGGUGUCCCGGGUUUAUGUAAACCCCUUUUGCAAUCUUUUUGACAAGCAAAAUCAAUGGGGAAACCAAAUUCAUUUAACAGCCAUGUUAUUAAUUUAACAACUACAAUAAUUCGCUUAACAACUGUGGCAAGAAAAGUUGUAAAAUGGGGCAAAACUCAUUUAACAAAUAUUUCACUUAACAAUAUAAAUGUUAGGCUCAAUUGUGGUCAUAAAUUGUCUGAAUAGUCCUCAGCAUACUGGUCCAGAGGCCAAGGUAACCCUUAGUCCCAGUCACUCAUGUUGUUGCAGGUAUAUAAAUGACAGAUCUUCUCUCCUAAACCUGGUGCUUUUGAGAUACGUUCUCAGCCUGGAAUAGGAGUUAUAAUCUCUAAAGGCAUGGAACGCACCAAAUUGGGGAAGUAUAAUCUACAUCAAUGGAAGGCUGUAAUAUCUAUGACCACAGAUGGCAUGUUAACUUAAUAGUAGGAAGGGUAAUAGUAAGAUAUCAGGAAGAUACAAGCAGAAGAAGCUAUUACUUUUUCUAUUUUAGUCGUGCAUUUCCUGGAAACAUUUGAUUGUUUGCUGAAGAAAGAGGUGGAUGAUCUAGAUAGUCUUUUUAUAUGAACUGGCUUAGCUGUUCUUACACUUUUACAAUAAUGAAGCAAAGUUUUGCAGAAAUUGUAGGUCAACUUUUCAAGGCUGUCAUGAAAAGCUUAACCAGGAUUAAAUGACAACAAAAACAAUUAACUCCAAUUACAUAUAGAGUGGAUUUCUGUAAUGUUACGUUGCUUGAAGACAACUCCAUCCUUCCUGCUCUUAAGCUCUUGAAGAUCUCCCUGCCUGUCUGUUUGGCAGUCUCCCUACUUUAGCCACCUACUUAUCUAUAUUCUUGGUGGAAAAGCAAAGUAUGCCUGUAAAAGAGCAUGAAAACUUACUGCAACUUAAUUAUUAACUGGAAAGCUAUGUCUUCAUUGCUUGUUUCAUGCUUGUUCUGCUUCAGGGCAGCUUUGCUAGUAAAUACAGUAAUUGUUAACCAGGACAGGAAGAAAAGUAGAGGAAAGGAGGAAAGUUUAUACUUGAAAACUGUUAUUGUGAACCUUCUUGUUUGGGUGUCCUGGUUUCAUUAUAAAUAAGUAUCUGGGAAGGUAGUGCUCUUAUUACUGCAUCAGGACUCAGCUCAUUAUCUGGCAUUCUUGCUGGGAGAAAAAAUGAUUUUAUAUGUGCAUAAUUAAGAAAUUGAAACCAGUAGCUGCAAAAGGAAAAAGCAAUAAAAAUAAAAAAAAUCCCAUUCCCUAAAGAUCAAUGGUUUGCUUACUUAAAAUAACUUUUUUUUUUUUGGUUGCCUUUGAGUCAUUGUUGACUCCUGGCAACUGCUUGGAAUAAUCCCUGCAGUUUUCUUGCCAAAAAAUUUAAAAGGUGGUUUGUCAUUUGCCCUCUUUCCUAGGGCUGAGAGAGAGUAACUGACCCUGGAACAAUGUUUUCCUAAAAGCAGAAAGGCAGAGCAUGCAUCAUGAAAUCAUAAGUGCUGCCACCUUUCAUAUUUAAUGAGUGAAAUUCAUAUUUUAUUUAUUCAUUAGUUACACGACAUCCACAUAAUACUGAUGUGGUUUCAGUUUUGCCUCACAUUUUGUCCCUCCAUUCUUCUGCUUAGAAAAUCUCCUUCAGGUUCUGAUUAACACUGCUGAUUUCAUGGACGUGUCCAUGUAUUUUUCUGGGUGACAAUUUGGAAGAACUUUACAACUACUUUUUUUCUGGAGUGUUCUUUGGAUUUCCUUGUGUAGCCUACAGCUUUACUGUUACCUUGUAGUCUCCCAUCCAAGUCCUAACCAAGUCUAAUCCUGCUUAUCUCCCAAACCCUAAGAAACAAAAUUAGCCAGGUACUGCCACCUGCUGAGACCUGUUUCUGUUUUAUCAUAACCAACAUUUUGGAUUUUCUUGCCUCUUAAACUUUCUUCUGUUUUUUAUAAUAUUUUGCUGGAUAAAGAGUCUGAAGAAUUCAAGUGCUUGCACACUCUUGGGCUAUUUUAGUUGGCUCUAAACAUAGUCAUGCUCUACUAAGUAUGUUGGAUUUGUGGACUUAGUAAUUGAUCUGUGCUGUAAUAAGUUAACUCUGCUACAGGUCUCAGUUCAGUAACUGGUUGCAAGUUUGGGGGUGCCUGUGAUUUUAAAACACAUCUAUUUGUAAAGUAUUUUCUUAAUGAUUAAUUCUGGAACACAACUUUCCCAUCCUAAAAAAACAAAAUGAAACAACCUCCUGUUUACUUUAAUUUUCUCUUGAGUUUAUUACAAGCUCUAAGCAGGUAGGAAUUGAAAAAAAAAACCAAACCUGUUUCCUGAGCCAUGGACAAGACAGAACUAAAAUAAAAACUGGGAUUGUUUGAAAGAGAAAAAUAAUCUAAGGUGCUUUUGUCUUCUAAAUCCUUUCAGGAGAUCCCUUGUUUUCUCAGGGUACUUCCAAGGGCUAAUUUGCCAAAGUGUUCAGAAGGAAUUAACUGUAGGAAAGAAAAAAAGAAAGAAACAUCACUUAGAAUUGUGGAUGUUUGCUGCCAAGAGAACUUUCAACCUUUGGAGCAUGGAGCCAGGACACCACCGAAAAUCUAACUUGAAGAAAACAUGGCAUUUUAUGGAGAUUCUCAAUCAUCUAGAUCAUGGUUGUCCCAAAGGUUUAAAACAGAGAAACUGCUGAGAAGGAAAAUUUUGAGGUAGCCUUGGAGUUAAGAAAGAAGCAUUUCCACUUAAUUUUCCACCAUAAGAGAUCAUGGAAAAGCCAAGCUGCUUUCACAAUUCUUAUGGGCUGCCACAAAGAAGAAGGAGUCAAGCUAUUCUCCAAAGCACCUGAGGGCAGGACAAGAAGCAAUGGAUGGAAACUAAUCAAGGAGAGAAGCAACCUAGAACUAAGAAGAAAUUUCCUGACAACAAUUAACCAGUGGAACAACUUGCCUCCAGAAGUUGUGAAUUCUCCAACACUGGAAGUUUUUAAGAGGAGAUUGGACAACCAUUUAUCUGAAAUGAUAUAAGGUUUUCUGCCUGAUCAGAGGGUUGGACUAGAAUACCUCCAAGGUCCCUUCCAACUCUUCUCUUCUCUUCUCUUCUCUUCUCUUCUCUUCUCUUCUCUUCUCAAUAUUUAUUGAGACUCCUAGUGAUUGAUUUGUCAAUAGUAAGAACUUUUUAUUCCAAGAAAAUAAAAAUAUUUAAAGUCAUAAUCCUACUUUCCAAUA